CUACUAGCUUCUCUUACUGUGAUGGAGACAUUUAAAGAGGAAACAGCUAGUGUAUAGCUUCACAACAUAGAUAGUGAGGAAUUAAUGGGUAUGUUUAGUGAUGCAAAAGUAUGGUUUCCUAAUGCAACAAUUUGCUAUAUUACUUGCAAACUAAGAUCAAAAAAGAAUAGGACUGUUGACUAUCUAGACACUCCAGAUUUAAGUUUAAGAGAAAAGAUUGUUAAAUGGUCAAUUAAUGUAGCACGUAAAAACAAAUUUACAUAUUGACUGAAUCGAUGCAAAGUAAGAGAUGAGAUUUGCCAAAGACAAAAAAUCAAGUGGCAAAGUUAAUAAAAGAAAAAAUGACUUCAUUUACACCAUUUCUUACUGGAAAGAUGAUGAAACUGAUAUUGAAGCUGCUGACUAUUGCAUGAAAAAGACCCAGCAUGCUGCUGAUGUUGUUUCUGUACUAAAACAUCAUCAACAUAUCUAUUAUGAGUUUUACAUUCAUCUCUCAUAUUUGGUGGUUGUCUGGUUGGGGGGGGGGGGUCAUACGCCCCUCCCAUAAUAGAAACACCACUUGUUUACGUAAGAUCUUGUAUAGCAUAAUUUUAUAUUGUAUACUAGUUUUACUCAUUUUAGUAAAGAUAAAUGUUUAUGAAAUCAAGUCGUUUUUGAUACAAGGGUGUAUCAAACCAUCACCACCACACACACUAUUAUUGCUAACAUACACCUCUCAUAUAUUUUAGUUUAGUAUAAAUUUAAAACAAUUUUUUUGUAUAUUUAUAUUGCUUAUGUCUUAAAAAAAAACUUUUUUUCUAAAAAAGUGUUUAG